GAGAGUAUAGCUCAGUGGCAGAGCGUGUGCGUAGCAAGCACAAGGUCCUGGGUUCAACAUCCCCAGUACCUUCA
rnacentral:tRNA from 1 species